UGUUCAAGCCGUAACAUUGGCAAUUCACCUAUAGAAGAGAUAUUGGAGUUUUAAAGUGAAUUUUCAGAUUCUAUUGUUACAGACCCAAUUAAUAGUUUUGAUAAACAAAAAUCGGAUUUUUUUCUGUACUUGGGACUAGUCAGAACAAUUUAACACCUAGAGAAAUGAUGAAUCCUGUACCCAUCAUUCAAGACUAUUUUCGAACAAAAAAUUGAAUAAUAAAAAUAUGGCGUAACUUACCGUUUCUUCGGCUCUUUGAUUUUCCCCCCAAACCUCUCGUUCUGAAGUAGAAGGCACUGUUGCCGAUUCGUUGGCGUUGUUUCUAUUACUAACUCGAAGACUAAUCGUUGAAUUUGAGGUACUCUGUUGUGAAUAUCUGAAACUAACCGAAGGUUCAGCACCAUGUUGUUCAAUGAAACCUUCCCGAAGAUUCCUUAAGGCUAUCAGAUGACAGUGAAGGUGACUGGUUGGUCCGCAUCGUAUACCUUCCGAAUUUAAUGAAUUUAUCUGAGACGUAGGACGAUCUGAGCUGUGUUCGAAAAGUACAUUAAAUAUUUUCUCUUGUAAUGUAUCUUACUUUGUUAGUUUUUUUUUUUUUAAAAUGAAUUUUUUUAAUUAUGCUAAUACCGUUCUACCAGAUUUUUAUAUUAAUCACCCAAAAUUAAAUAUAGGGCCAGAGUUAGUACUGAUUAUAUCAUCAAUAAACUUACAAACUCAUCACCAAAAA